UCUCCGUGGCGCAAUCGGCUAGCGCGUUCGCCUAUUAACUGAAAGGUUGGUGGUUCGAGCCCACCCAGGAGUG
rnacentral:tRNA from 1 species